rnacentral:rRNA from 1 species
UACGGAGGGUGCAAGCGUUAUCCGGAUUCACUGGGUUUAAAGGGUGCGUAGGUGGGCAGGUAAGUCAGUGGUGAAAUCUUUGGGCUUAACCCGAAGACUGCCAUUGAUACUAUUUGUCUUGAAUAUUGUGGAGGUCAGCGGAAUAUGUCAUGUAGCGGUGAAAUGCUUAGAUAUGACAUAGAACACCAAUUGCGAAGGCAGCUGGCUACACAUAUAUUGACACUGAUGCACGAAAGCGUGGGGAUCAAACAGG